GUUUCCCCCUUCACUUUACCAAUUAGACUUUUUCUUGUCUUAAUUGGUCAUUCGGGGGGGUUACAGCAACUAUCCUUUUAAAACCCAACCAGAUUAUAUUUAACUGGCUUGGAUCCUGUCAGAGGAAACAGAU
ensembl:snoRNA small nucleolar RNA, H/ACA box 27